CGAGCUUCCGUUGAAUGACGUGCUUGCACUGAUUUCAACAAUGAAGCGAGUGGCGAACUGGUGAGUAACACGUGGGGAAUCUGCCCAGAAGCAGGGGAUAACACUUGGAAACAGGUGCUAAUACCGUAUAACAACAAAAUCCGCAUGGAUUUUGUUUGAAAGGUGGCUUCGGCUAUCACUUCUGGAUGAUCCCGCGGCGUAUUAGUUAGUUGGUGAGGUAAAGGCCCACCAAGACGAUGAUACGUAGCCGACCUGAGAGGGUAAUCGGCCACAUUGGGACUGAGACACGGCCCAAACUCCUACGGGAGGCAGCAGUAGGGAAUCUUCCACAAUGGACGAAAGUCUGAUGGAGCAAUGCCGCGUGAGUGAAGAAGGGUUUCGGCUCGUAAAACUCUGUUGUUAAAGAAGAACACCUUUGAGAGUAACUGUUCAAGGGUUGACGGUAUUUAACCAGAAAGCCACGGCUAACUACGUGCCAGCAGCCGCGGUAAUACGUAGGUGGCAAGCGUUGUCCGGAUUUAUUGGGCGUAAAGCGAGCGCAGGCGGUUUUUUAAGUCUGAUGUGAAAGCCUUCGGCUUAACCGGAGAAGUGCAUCGGAAACUGGGAGACUUGAGUGCAGAAGAGGACAGUGGAACUCCAUGUGUAGCGGUGGAAUGCGUAGAUAUAUGGAAGAACACCAGUGGCGAAGGCGGCUGUCUAGUCUGUAACUGACGCUGAGGCUCGAAAGCAUGGGUAGCGAACAGGAUUAGAUACCCUGGUAGUCCAUGCCGUAAACGAUGAGUGCUAAGUGUUGGAGGGUUUCCGCCCUUCAGUGCUGCAGCUAACGCAUUAAGCACUCCGCCUGGGGAGUACGACCGCA
rnacentral:rRNA from 2 species